GGGUCAGUAGGUUGGUCGUGCCACCGGUACGUACUGGUCUCACUGAUUCCUCCUUCCUGAAGAACCGUAAUGCCAUUAAUUUGGUGUUGCGGGGAAACAGGACUGUUACUUUGGAAAAAUUAGAGUGUUUAAAGCAAGCUAACGCUUGAAUACAUUAGCAUGGAAUAAUGAAAUAGGACGAUCGAUCCUAUUUUGUUGGUUUCUAGGAUUGACGUG
rnacentral:rRNA from 1 species